rnacentral:rRNA from 1 species
AUUGAACGCUGGCGGCGGGCCUAACACAUGCAAGUCGAGCGGAGCGGCGUACGGGUGAGUAAUGCCUAGGAAUCUGCCUGGUAGUGGGGGAUAGCGUCCGGAAACGGGCGCUAAUACCGCAUACUAUCAGAUGAGCCGAGGUUGGAUUAGCUAGUGGGUGGGGUAAAGGCCUACAAAGGCGACGAUCCGUAACUGGUCGGAGAGGAGGAUCAGUCACACUGGAACUGAGACACGGUCCAGACUCCUACGGUAGGCAGCAGUGGGGAAUAUUGGACAAUGGGCGAAGGCCUGAUCAAGACAUGCCGCGGGGGGGAAGAAGUGUUUCGGAUUGUAAAGCACUUUAAGUUGGGAGGCGUUACCAACAGAAUAAGCACCGGCUAACUUCGUGCCAGCCGCCGCGGUAAUAC